GAGACUAUAGCUCAGUGGUAGAGUGCAUGCUUAGCAUGCACAAGGUCCUGGGUUCAAUCCCCAAUACCUCCA
rnacentral:tRNA from 1 species